AACGAACGCUGGCGGCAGGCCUAACACAUGCAAGUCGAGCGCGCCUUUCGGGGUGAGCGGCGGACGGGUUAGUAACGCGUGGGAAUAUGCCCAGAUCUACGGAAUAGCCUUUGGAAACGAAGAGUAAUACCGUAUACGCCCUUUUGGGGAAAGAUUUAUCGGAUUUGGAUUAGCCCGCGUUAGAUUAGGUAGUUGGUGGGGUAAUGGCCUACCAAGCCUACGAUCUAUAGCUGGUUUGAGAGGAUGAUCAGCAACACUGGGACUGAGACACGGCCCAGACUCCUACGGGAGGCAGCAGUGGGGAAUCUUAGACAAUGGGGGAAACCCUGAUCUAGCCAUGCCGCGUGAGUGAAGAAGGCCCUAGGGUCGUAAAGCUCUUUCGCCUGUGAUGAUAAUGACAGUAGCAGGUAAA
rnacentral:rRNA from 1 species